rfam:Parcubacteria bacterium GW2011_GWA2_45_14 TW94_C0009, whole genome shotgun sequence.
CGCGGGGUGGAGAAGUAGUAUCUCGCCUGGCUCAUAACCAGGAAAUCGCCGGUGCAAUUCCGGCCCCCGCUA